UAUAAGAAAGUACUCAAACUCAGUGGGUU
rnacentral:piRNA from 1 species